rnacentral:rRNA from 1 species
AGUGAACGCUGGCGGUAGGCCUAACACAUGCAAGUCGAACGGCAGCACAGGAGAGCUUGCUCUCUGGGUGGCGAGUGGCGGACGGGUGAGGAAUACAUCGGAAUCUACUCUGUCGUGGGGGAUAACGUAGGGAAACUUACGCUAAUACCGCAUACGACCUACGGGUGAAAGCAGGGGACCUUCGGGCCUUGCGCGAUUGAAUGAGCCGAUGUCGGAUUAGCUAGUUGGCGGGGUAAAGGCCCACCAAGGCGACGAUCCGUAGCUGGUCGGAGAGGAGGAGCAGCCACAGUUGAACUGGGACACGGUCCAGGCUCCUACGGGAGGGAGCAGUAGGGAAUGUUGGUCAAUGGGCGCAGGCCUGAUCCUGCCAUACCGCGUGGGUGAAGAAGUCCUUCGGGUUGUAAAGCCCAUUUGUUGGGAAAGAAAUCCAGCUGGCUAAUACCCGGUUGGGAUGACGGUACCCAAAGAAUAAGCACCGGCUAACUUCGUGCCAGCCGCCGCGGUAA